UGAAGUAAAUAAAGUUACUGUAAUUAUGUUGGAUGCAAAAUUAGUAGUGAACCACGUUAGUAUAACAACUGAUAUCUAAAUUUUAAUGGUUCUAGAUUAUCUAAGAAGUUAGAAGUGGUGCACCAGCACUAUUGGUUCUAUAUUCUCUUUGUUGAGUCAGUUACUGUAAUUAAUCGUUAUUGCUUAACUUUUGAUUUGGUUGCGCUUUUUGUUGAGGUGCUGUUGUUGCCUACUGUUUUGGUUUGCUAUUGGCUUGAUUGCGAUUUUCCUCCGCCCUUGAGUUUUUUUGGUAUUUCUUUCAUCUUGCUUAAAUUUGAAUUUUCACUGCUGAUUUGGGAUUUUUCAGUGUAUUUGGGGUUUCUCUAUGCAUUUGGGAUUUCUCUGUGUAUUUUCUGUAGCAUUUGUUAAUUCAUGCCCCUUAAGAAUGUGAUGAAAUCAGUGGAGGAAAGUGAUGAAUAGAAUAGAAACAUGUUAACAAAUCCAUAAACAAGUGAAAGUGUAACGAACAUAUUGGAAAGGAUAUAGGAUUAAAUCGAUAUACUUAGAUAUAGGAUUAAAUCGAUAUACUUACUUUAUUUUCAAACCUAAAAGCUGAUUACUCGGUCAAGUAUUAGCUGGAAAAUGAUAUCCAGCUACUUCAAACAUUCUUAGAAAUUUUUAAUAUGAUUUAAGCUCUUCAAUUGUAUAGCUAGCUUGUGUAUCAUUUGCCAGGUUUAGUACUCAAAAAAAUUUCUUGUUGCUCUUGUAUGUUUCCUUGUUUGAUUAGUUGUCAUGUUUAAUAUAACAUGUCUGAAGAAUAUCACUAAGGAAAUAGAAUAAACUGUUAAUGACACCUUUGUUAGAUAUGAAUUCACCUCUGAAAAUGCUGAAGCCUGAAAGGAAGAAGCCAUAGAAGCGUGCCAAUGAGAUAUUCUGGAUUCUACUUCUUAACCUUGGAUUGUAUGUAGCAGAUCAUGUCUUCCAGGUUCUGAAAUUGUUUUCCCUCCUUGUUGCAGUUCUCAUUUUAUAUAUAAUGUGAUGGAAUGAAGAUGAUCCGCACAACAAAUAUAUAUGUCCUUCAGUAGAGAAAGUGGUGCAUUAUGAUGGUCAAUUAGAAAAUCUACAACAGCUAAGUUUGUUUCUGCCAACAAGCUUACUUUAGUGACAGCUUUUACUAAAGAUACCGCCCUUUCAAUUUUUGCCAGUCCAAUUAAGAAGCCGGUUUUGCAUUUUCGCUACAGCAAUUGAUACGGAUAAGUUGUUCCCAACAUUUCGAGAUGCUGCAAAACUUUUCAAGGGAAAGAAUGAUGCGGAUGUGAGAGUCUUGGUUGGGAACAAUUUUGAUGAAAUCGUUCCAAAUGAGUCAAAAGAUGCGCUUCUUGAGCCCUACCAAUUAUGGAACUAUGGAGAAUACAAGUAGAAAACCUUGAGACUUUAGAGGACCUAUUGGCCUUCAAAGAAGCUCUGAAUUUCUGUUACACAUCCUGAAGACAUGCUCCAUAACAAUUCAAUCUCGUUGCCGAUAUUUAGAGUUAUAGAUAAGCUUACAAAGUUGCUAAGGAGUUGGUCAUUUGUUCAAUCUCGCUCCUGAUUUUAGUUGUAUCAGCAUUUGUACGAUUUUAAAUAUAUUAGAAUUUAUAUUUGCGAUUGCACCGCUUCUCUAAAAAAAAAAACCACAAAUUGAUUGCCACACACAUAAUUGCGGGGGUCAAUUUGUAAUUUUAAACCCCCCAAAUUGACAGUCUUUUUGUAGUGAUCGAACACACCCUAUAUCUUAAACAAUAUUUUUCAACUCUCUA